rnacentral:rRNA from 1 species
UACGUAGGGACCGAGCGUUGUCCGGAAUCAUUGGGCGUAAAGAGCGUGUAGGCGGCCACUUAAGUCCUGCGUGAAAUCCUGCGGCUCAACCGCAGGCGGUCGUGGGAAACUGGGUGGCUAGAGUGCGGGAGAGGAGAGUGGAAUUCCCGGUGUAGCGGUGGAAUGCGUAGAGAUCGGGAAGAACAUCGGUGGCGAAGGCGGCCUGCUGGGCUGUUGCUGACACUGAGGCGCGACAGCGUGGGGAGCAAACAGG